rnacentral:rRNA from 1 species
UACGUAGGUGGCAAGCGUUGUCCGGAGUUAUUGGGCGUAAAGCGCGCGCAGGCGGUGCGGUAAGUCUCUGGUGAAAGCGCUCGGCUUAACUGGGCGAGGGCCGGGGAGACUGCCACGCUGGAGGGGAGCAGAGGCGAGUGGAAUUCCGGGUGUAGUGGUGAAAUGCGUAGAGAUCCGGAGGAACACCAGUGGCGAAGGCAGCUCGCUGGGACGUUACUGACACUGAGGCGCGAAAGCGUGGGGAGCGAACAGG